AUGGUCACAUCAAAUAGAUAUACCAGUUUGCGUAUGAUCACCGAAGUUAAGCAACGUCAAGCCUGGUCAAUACCUAGAUGGGUGACCGCUUGGGAAUACCAAGUGCUGUAAG